UACAGAGGGGGCAAGCGUUGUUCGGAAUUACUGGGCGUAAAGGGCGCGUAGGCGGCCUGUUAAGUCGAACGUGAAAUCCCCGGGCUCAACCCGGGAACUGCGUCCGAUACUGGCAGGCUUGAAUCCGGGAGAGGGAUGCGGAAUUCCAGGUGUAGCGGUGAAAUGCGUAGAUAUCGGGAGGAACACCUGUGGGCGAAAGCGGCGCACUGGACCACAACUGACGCUGAGGCGCGAAAGCUAGGGGAGCAAACAGG
rnacentral:rRNA from 1 species